UACGGGGGGAGCAAGCGUUGUUCGGAUUUACUGGGCGUAAAGGGCGCGUAGGCGGCGUGACUAGUCACUUGUGAAAUCUCCGGGCUUAACUCGGAACGGUCAAGUGAUACUGUCGUGCUAGGGUACAGAAGGGGCAACUAGAAUUCUCGGUGUAGCGGUGAAAUGCGUAGAUAUCGAGAGGAACACCUGAGGUGAAGACGGGUUGCUGGGCCGACACUGACGCUGAGUGCGCGAAAGCCAGGGGAGCAAACGGG
rnacentral:rRNA from 1 species